rnacentral:rRNA from 1 species
AUGCAACCUGCUGCUGCUCCUUCUUCCUAUGCGCCCCUGCUGCUCUUCUUGCUGAAGCCCUUUCCCCUCACCACGUUAUUGUUCCUUCUUCUUCCCCUUGCUGCUACUAUUUCUCUUCUUCCCUCGCCUCUAGCCGCUGCUCCUAGUUCUUCCCCACGCCUCUCCGUUGCAUCUCCCUGCUGCUAUCAUUCUCCAAGCUCGCCCCUCUCAGAAUCCCUACUGCUGCUGCUCUUCUACUUUCUCCUACCACGCUGCUGUUCUGCUCUUUCUCCAUCUCCCAACUCCAAGUCGUUGCUGCUACUCCAUCUUCCUUUGCCCCGCUGCACCUCCUCCCUCUUCUCAAUGCCCCCCUGCUACUGCUUCUUCUCUCUCAACCUCCUGCUGUUGCCUUCUCUCUCUCUCUCUCUCUGA